CCCAACUACAAACAGACCCACCCUAUUACAUCUCAACAGGCUGAACUUGAUGAUACGACACCAAGCUGUUCUGAGAGUGCAUACAGUAAGGCAAAGAAGAGAGAGCUUCAUGCCUGGGAUGCAGUCAAGGAUGACAUGCUUAAGGUGUCGUUUGAAUGUUCAGCACCAAUCACUACCCAGUGUGUUGUCUGCCAAGAACAUGGUGAUUAUAGGUGCAUUGAGUGCAGCACCACUGCAGUGUUUUGUGAGGUUUGCCUGAAGAGGACUCAUAGAAAUUCACUGCAUCUUCCUGAAAAGUGGAAUAAUGUCUACUAUGAGCCAUCCUCCCUGGGGUUAUUCCUGUUUUUACCUGAAGGCCAUGACACCCAUGCUGUGUACACAAAGGUCAUGAAGGUCAUUGUCAGCACAGGACGGCUCUGCACCGUGACAGUCAACAUGUGUGCGUGUGAACCAGAAACCUGCACUUUGCUAAGGUUAACACACUCUACAGAGCCCUGGUGGGAGAAUCCAUAUCCCAUUUUAGGCAUCACCACUUCCGACAAAGAAGUUUGGUCGAUAUUUGCCCACAAUUAGAUGAUGGAACCAUAUGCCCAGCAUGUCCAAAGGCGGAUGGAGAUAUGAUUGUCACAUUGGAUGCCAACUUUGGCCUUGUGAGGAAGCAAAGCUCAGGUACAAGUGUGGUUGAGCCAUUACAUGGAACCCGCAUGUUUGUUGAUGAAAAGGAUGUAGAGGAAUACCUGCUAUCACAUCUUGACAGCUCAAAACCUCACGAGGACUGCAGUAACUUCAAGGCUGGCAAUGUGCUGAGGUCACAAAAACAAGCAAAGAAGCUUGAUGUUACAGGAGUGUUUGGAGCCUCUUGUCGUCAUGAAAUGCCCCUAAUGUUUGUCAACAUGAGCCAAGGAGAACGGCAA